rnacentral:lncRNA from 1 species
UGACACAACAUCACAUUCCCAUCAACGACUAAUGGGUAAUGUUUAUGCAAUGAUAUUUAAUGUUUACAUGUGAGAAAUGAGGAGGAAAAAAAAGACUUAAUCGAGACAGUAAUAUCAUAUCAUCAGAUCCACAAAGACGUGUUAGGUUUGAAUAAUUGAAUAUGAUACACACUUGUCUUUUUCUGUUGUGGUCUCCUCCUAUCUAAGCUCACAUUGAUCUCGUUUUGGGUUCUCUUUAACAAGCUUUG